UUGCAGCAUCUGUUUAAGUAUUGUUUCAGUUGGAGCUAAAUUUUAAAAUCAUGAAAUUUGUUGGUGCCUUUGUGCUGUUUGUGGUCCUGGUGCUGGCUGUAGAUGAAGCCCAAUCAGCUGUUACUGUUAUGGCUAAAUCCUGUGCUGAAUGCAAAAGACAGGGAGCAACAAGUUGUGUGACGCUCUCAGGAGAAUAUAAAGGACUUUUUGAAUGCAAAAGAGUGACAAAAAUAACAGAUUGCUAUACAUGUGCCUCGAAUUCUGCUCCCUACGGUUCAAAAUGCAAAUCCGGCUAUCCAACCGAGUGUAUACUAAAUCAUUGAUAGACGCACUGCAUUCAAGGAUAUCAGAAGAAAAAUUGAAAAGUUUCGGUCCAUUAAAAAUGUAUGCGUUGUGAGUUGAUAAAAACUUAAAUUAAAUGCCAUUUUGAAACCCA